rnacentral:lncRNA from 1 species
GUGUGUCUAUUCUUGACUUUGAGAGAAGGGAGUAUCCCCGGGAGCAUCACAGGGAGUCGCUCCUCGCUCACGAUCCCUAGCGUAAAAAAAUAGUAUUCUUGAAUGAUAGGGAAUGCCAGUGAACACGCAGUCCCUGCAAGCACUGUUGCCAGCUUAUCAGACCAAUCAAAAUUGAGGAAAUGUUGACGGUCUGACAGGCUCGCCAACGUCAUUUAUUUACUAUUGUGGCGGAACUCGUACCAACCUUUUGUUUUAAAAGAGACAUACAUCUAAGAAUCAUGUAUUUGUCUUUAUCUAAGCUAAGAAACGGUCGUUUAUUCCCUCGUUUUCUGCUGUUUUUGUUUUUUUAAGCAUGGUUCAUUGCUUCUGUGCCCUAUUGAGGUAAGGUAAUGUACUAGUAAAAUGAAUACAGUUUUAUGAAGAAAGUAAAAUGGUAAUUUCAUUUAUGUAGCCGCUUCUCUUCAGCACUUUAUAAUGAAUCGUAAAAUGAGUCUAUGUUCCUUAAAGAGACUGAAGUAAAUGUACCUUUUAGG